CACGUAGGGCGCGAGCGUUGUCCGGAAUUAUUGGGCGUAAAGAGCUCGUAGGCGGCCUGUUGCGUCCGCUGUGAAAGCCCGGGGCUUAACCCCGGGUCGGCAGUGGAUACGGGCAGGCUAGAGGUAGGUAGGGGAGAAUGGAAUUCCCGGUGUAGCGGUGAAAUGCGCAGAUAUCGGGAGGAACACCGGUGGCGAAGGCGGUUCUCUGGGCCUUACCUGACGCUGAGGAGCGAAAGCGUGGGGAGCGGACAGG
rnacentral:rRNA from 1 species